rnacentral:rRNA from 1 species
GCCUUUGCAUCAAUGCAUGCAAUCAUCUUUAUUAAGUUAUUCAACCGAGUCUAACAAAAUGAAUACAAAGAUCAAACUAAAGUUACCUUCGAGACGAACAAACUCGCUACACAUACAAAUAUAAAGAUGUGCCCCGACCGCAUCAACGGACACCAUCUUAUCCAAUGACCUCAAGAAGUCGCCUGACUGGCAAGUUAAUAGCACCAACCGAUCUAGGCGUUCCACAACAUGCACCGCAUGCGCACGCUCUAGGAUCCGCCGCCGCCAUCUUCCGCCGUCCCACCUUCAGGAGGGAUCAUUGCAUAGACCUUGCCAGACCCAUCUGCUAUUGACGUCACCACAACGCCAGGCAACACCACCAGCCUGCGCGCGUCCAUCAAACCACGUCCAACGCCGAGACUCCAGUGCUCCAAGCCGCCGAGACCCGCCAUCUUCAACGCGGUAGAUGGAACCGCUCCACCUGUUGGCCCCUCCAGUGAACCUCUGCUUCAAAACAAUGCCCUCAGGAGGGAAAACGACACCGUAGUCUCCGUUAUCAUCCGAUCUGGGAGACCCAGAUCUAGGGUUUCCCCCGGGACUGAUGCCCCAUAGAGGAAGAAGGGCACGCCAUCUACACCUACCAACGAACCUAAACAGUGUCCACCAUCACAAAGCUCUCACGGCGAGACCUUCACGAAAGACACGGCGCUUGAGAGUUGUCGCCGCCCACCGCAGUUAAGGUUUUCACCCGAGAAGCAGUGAAGUCGGAAAAGGUAGGACGGACCAGAACGAUGUAUCCAAGAAGAAUAUCGGCACCUGCGAGCGUCGUCGUCGUGAUGGCCGGCUGGAACCGACCACAGAAUUAUCCUGAUCUAGAUCCCCAACUCCCGCUCCACCCACAAAGCGGUGACCGGCUAGCUAGACAGCAUGGCGUCCGGCGAGAUUGGAGCGCACCUAGAUGGGACAGCAGGAAGCGAAGAAAACGGCGCCGUCUGCCGCCGGGGCAUCGCUGCCACGUACGGCCCGAGCCCGUCCCUGUGGACUCCUCAAUCAAAAAGUUAAGGCACAGCACAAUCUACACAAACAGAUAUGGGAUUCAAGAUCGACUAUUACCGUGGUCCCUCGCUGGGAGCAGAGAGGGAAACGACGACGAGGCUGGUGGGUGGAUCUGUGGUCGCUCAGCUCCUUUCAUCCAGCAGUCAAGCAAUGAACCUAGUAAAGUCCUAUCUCUGUUUAAUAUAAAACGUUUUUUAAUAAGACUACCAAAACAUCCUCGCUAGGCAUGCAUGCAUGCUCGACGCCCACUAAGACCUAACUAGUGUCGUACGUGCCGGACCUGACUCCCUCCGUUCCUAAAUAUAAGCUUUUUUAGAUUUCCACUGCAAACUAUAUACGGAUGUAUCUCUACUCCUAAGGGAGCAGUUGGUAGUCUCGCUUCCAGGUUUUUUUUAGUCCCACCUCCCACGGUUUAUUUUGGUACCUCCUCCCACCUCUGACUAAGACAUCACAAACCGAAAAAACCUCCUCCUGAGGCCCGAACCCGCACCUAUCCACAUGCGACCCUCAAAAGACGUACGAAGGUUAACCUGCGACAAAAAAAAACCUACGACGGUUAACCAGCGACGAGUCCUGUUCUCGAGCGAGGCCUCCCUUCGUGGCCGCCCUACAUCCCUGCGCCGCCGCGCUUCAGUCGCUGCCCUCCAUCCUCGCCGCCCUCCAUCCUGGUCGAGGUCGCCGCCCCGCUUCACUCGCCGUCCUCCAUCCGCGUCGAUCCUGGACAAGGUCGCGGCCCUCCAUCACUUCGCCGCCGCGCUGAACACCUCGACGAUCCGGCGCGGGUCCUGGAUCAGGUCGCCGCCGCCCUCCAUCACUUCGCCGCCGCGCUGAACUCCUCGCCCUUGAUCCAGGAUCCAGCGCCGAUCCUGGACGAGGAUAAGCGCACACGUCCAGGAUCCGGCCAGAACACGUCCUGGAUCCGAAAAAUAGGUAUACAAACCAUCUCAUACGUCAAUCGCAUCUCAUACAUCUCAAAUGCCAUACAAUCGCAUCUCAUACAUCUCACAGCCCAUACAUCCAUCGCAUGUCAUACAGCCAUGGCAAGUGCUUUCACAGGGAUGGAUCCGCCUGCGAGAUUGAUUUCUGUUCUACACAGUUUAGACUCAAGUACACAUGUUUACAGAUGGCAAUUGGCAAAAAAAAUACCAAGGGGUAUCCUGCAUCCUGCACUUGUAUAAAUAUGGCAAAAAAGAAAACACAAACCAUACAGGACCCUAGAGUAUGUUUCCACUUGUGCUGAACUGAAGAUAGAACAAAAACACUUGCAUUCUAAGAAAGUACAGAGAUGUAGAAGAUGUAGAUGAAAGUGCCAUUGCAGUAUUUAUGUAGAAUAAAAUACAAUUGCAGUAUAUGCUAGCAACAGGUUGCAGUAUAUAAUAUGUUGAACAAUAACCCUUCCAGAAUGUCAUCAAAUAACUACCAUUUCUGUCUUCAUGAUUUUUGCCAUUCAAUAGUUGCAUAUGGGGAAUUCAAAAAGCACGGUUGGCGAACAUCAACCUGAAGAUGACGUAACUACAGGUAUGAUGCAACCUACCAUGUUUUCGUUUAGUUGCGAGACCUGAAUAUAUGACAGGAUGCAUAAUGUCUUCCAGGUCUUACAAGCGGGAGAAGUGAUGCAGAACACAAUGCGAGCAUCAUACCCGUAGCUGAAAUUGUUGAUAACGUCUACUCGACGGAAUCAGGUAUAAUACUGUCCGGAGAUUGGUUAUAAAUGUUGCUUCACGUCCAUUUCUGAAAGUGGCAGAAUGCAUUAUGUGUUGCAGUCCUUACGGGCGGGAUAAAUGUUGGAGACUACAAUGCAAACUUCAUACCCUUACAUGCAGGUAUAAGACUGUGUCAAGAUUGCUGCUAAUGUUUCGUGCAUAACGUAUAUUUUGUUGAUUGCUAAGAUGUAGGGCGGGAACCUUCAAACGACGGGAUUCCGUCGUAUUCUGAGAAUAAUAAGGAUGGUACGACUAAGCUACGAGAUGAUACUCAAGGUAUUCACAGGCAUGCUUAUACAGCUUCCAAAUCGACAUCUCCCAGAUGAGCUUAAUGGGCUUUGUGGUUUUUACGCUUAACGUAAUGCAGAUGACAAAACUUCCGAGCAGCAUGCAACAGUAGCUGUAUUUAAUGAAGAAAAAAAAACGUUGGCGAAACAAGGGAGCAGUUCAACGCACAGAGGCGUGAAUCUUAUCGGAAGAAAAAAGAGGAGGAUAUGGUCAGGUUACAAGAGUAUAAUCAGCCAUGCCUUUCAAAGACCGGUAAGUAUUUAAGCGUGAUUUUGCUGACUACUCUUGGUUUUUUCUGAAUACCUAUAGUAUGCAAAUUAAUCGUUAUAGUAACCUGACUUCAUAGAUGUUCCCCGUGUUGGUUUCAUAGAUGUUGUAUCAACAUCGAUACUUUUUUUGUUCUCUAACUCUCAUACCUAUUGUAAAAAUGGUAGACCAUAGAGAUCUUAUCAACGCGUGGAGGCGGGCAUCUUAUCGCACUAAGAAGUCAGAUGAUUUUAUAAACCAUCUAGACGAUGGGCCGAUUGUUCACCGUCGUACUCUAUGUGAUAUCACAAAUGUUCAACAACCUUCAUAUGUGAUCCCUGGUACUUAUUUGGUAGAUUUACAAUGUCGUUAAUUACAUGUGUGUAUUUGACAAUCAUACUAUUUGUGAUUAUGUUUAACUUCUCUUUGCUUUCUGAACGCCCGUGGUGGAUAACUAUAGGAACUAAUGUUGGGGCAGAUCAUAUCUUGGGGCAGCUAAUCAAACCCACGCGAGAUGAUAAGCACAGGAAAGUUGAUCUUCGUCCCCUUUGUAAUUCAAGUACGAUUAUUUUAUGUUACAUCCUAGCAUUCAUGGUUCAGCCAUUUUAAUAAAUACUAACCAAGCAUGUUAUAUCAGAUGACCCAGCUAGCUCGGUUGAUACAUCAAUCUCGCAUAAUGAAUCAACAUUUCCUCCUAAAGCUACGGGAGCGUCUGAUGUAAUUGCAGAUAAAAAUAUAAAAGGUAAAAUGAUUGUGCUUUUUCCAUACUCGUUUGCUGUCAUGUUGUUUUUACCUUUCGCUUUUGAGAGAAACCCAAGGAAGACAUCAGUAGAUAACUUGAAUGAUAGCACAGAAAAUACGCAAGUAACAGAAGAAGAACGCAAACGAGACCGUAAAAAAGCUUUGAGGAGAGCUGCAUAUCGGCAGAGAAAAGAUCGGAAUCUCCAAGAUGAACAUAAUCAGGCCCUUAUUUUAUCUGGUAACCUCUAAAGGUUUUGACCAUUAUAUUCAGUACCCGAUUUCAUGUCUUAAUGAUUAAGUUUUCCACAUGUUUUCAUCAAUUUGUUUAACCAGCCAACCCAACUAGCUCCAACUAUACAUCAUUCUCGGUUGAUGCGACGACAUUUCAUGCUACAACUACUGUCACAUCUGGUCUCAUUAAUGACAUGGAGGUACAAGGUAAUCGAUUUGUGCGUACUCCAUCAUCAAUUGCUGUCAUUGUUAUGUUUUAUUGUCUAAUGUCCUGAUCGACAUCAGAUGUGGUCUUGAAUAACACCCAAGAAACAAAGCAAAAAACCGACGAAGAACUCAAGAGAGAUCGUAGAAAUGCCCUACGAAGAGCUGCUUAUAGGAGGAAAAAGGAUAAGCUUAUCCAUGAUGAAAACAUACGUCCACUUUCGUUAUCAGGUAAAACAUGAUCUAUAUUUUCACCAUGACUUACAUAUCUUGUUUUGCUGCUCAUAGCUAAAUAUUCUUAUAGCCACCAUCAUGCUCGAUGCGUACAGUUUAAUGCUGCAUAUUAAUGCACCAUCAUGGUUUUUUUUCCUAUAGACGUCUUAAAUAAUAUUGGUUCUAACUAUGUUUUAAAAUCAUUACGAAACCAGACAACCCUAAUAGCUCCAGCUAUAUAGAAUUCGAGGGUGACGCAGCAACAUUUCCCCAUUCAACAUUAGACGCGUCUGUUGUCACUCAUGACAAUGAUCUAGCUAGGAGGCAACGUGAUAAUGAGCGGAAAAGAAAUUUAACAAACGCGCAAAGGGAGCAAAUAAACGCACAGAGGCGUGCAGAUUAUCAGCGGAAUAAGGACAAGGUAUCUGUUGAUGUCAGAGAAACAGUGAAUGAAAAAGUACGAGGAAAGCGAAUGCAACGUCGCAAAAGCAUGUCAGUGAUUGAGAAGGGGGAGUCAAGUGCUCAGAGGAAGGCCAAUUAUGCCAGAAGAAAAAACACCCCAUGCAACGAAUCCAUCGCGCUCCCACGUCCAGACCUAGCAAACUCAACCUCUGAAUGUCCCACUUUAAUCUGCCGCGCAUCAUCCGUC